UGGGGGCAUUGGGGACAUCAGUGGGGGUGGUGGCAUUGGGGACAGCAGUUUGGGGACACCCCUUGGGGACAGCAUUGGGGACAGCAUUGGGGACAUCAGUGGGGACAGCAGUGGGGAACCCCAUUGGGGACAGCAGUGGGGACACCCCUUAAGGACACCUCAUGGGGACACCAUUGGGGACAUCAGUGGGGAACCCCAUUGGGGACAGCAGUGGGGACACCCCUUAAGGACACCCCAUGGGGACACCAUUGGGGACAUCAGUGGGGACAUCAGUUUGCAGUUUGGGGACACCCCUUGGGGACAGCAUUGGGGAACCCCAUUGGGGACAUCAG
ensembl:lncRNA